GGUUAAGCGACUAAGCGUACACGGUGGAUGCCCUGGCAGUCAGAGGCGAUGAAGGACGUGCUAAUCUGCGAUAAGCGUCGGUAAGGUGAUAUGAACCGUUAUAACCGGCGAUUUCCGAAUGGGGAAACCCAGUGUGAUUCGUCACACUAUCAUUAACUGAAUCCAUAGGUUAAUGAGGCGAACCGGGGGAACUGAAACAUCUAAGUACCCCGAGGAAAAGAAAUCAACCGAGAUUCCCCCAGUAGCGGCGAGCGAACGGGGAGCAGCCCAGAGCCUGAAUCAGUGUGUGUGUUAGUGGAAGCGUCUGGAAAGGCGCGCGAUACAGGGUGACAGCCCCGUACACAAAAAUGCACAUGCUGUGAGCUCGAUGAGUAGGGCGGGACACGUGGUAUCCUGUCUGAAUAUGGGGGACCAUCCUCCAAGGCUAAAUACUCCUGACUGACCGAUAGUGAACCAGUACCGUGAGGGAAAGGCGAAAAGAACCCCGGCGAGGGGAGUGAAAAAGAACCUGAAACCGUGUACGUACAAGCAGUGGGAGCACGCUUAGGCGUGUGACUGCGUACCUUUUGUAUAAUGGGUCAGCGACUUAUAUUCUGUAGCAAGGUUAACCGAAUAGGGGAGCCGAAGGGAAACCGAGUCUUAACUGGGCGUUAAGUUGCAGGGUAUAGACCCGAAACCCGGUGAUCUAGCCAUGGGCAGGUUGAAGGUUGGGUAACACUAACUGGAGGACCGAACCGACUAAUGUUGAAAAAUUAGCGGAUGACUUGUGGCUGGGGGUGAAAGGCCAAUCAAACCGGGAGAUAGCUGGUUCUCCCCGAAAGCUAUUUAGGUAGCGCCUCGUGAAUUCAUCUCCGGGGGUAGAGCACUGUUUCGGCAAGGGGGUCAUCCCGACUUACCAACCCGAUGCAAACUGCGAAUACCGGAGAAUGUUAUCACGGGAGACACACGGCGGGUGCUAACGUCCGUCGUGAAGAGGGAAACAACCCAGACCGCCAGCUAAGGUCCCAAAGUCAUGGUUAAGUGGGAAACGAUGUGGGAAGGCCCAGACAGCCAGGAUGUUGGCUUAGAAGCAGCCAUCAUUUAAAGAAAGCGUAAUAGCUCACUGGUCGAGUCGGCCUGCGCGGAAGAUGUAACGGGGCUAAACCAUGCACCGAAGCUGCGGCAGCGACACUAUGUGUUGUUGGGUAGGGGAGCGUUCUGUAAGCCUGUGAAGGUGUACUGUGAGGUAUGCUGGAGGUAUCAGAAGUGCGAAUGCUGACAUAAGUAACGAUAAAGCGGGUGAAAAGCCCGCUCGCCGGAAGACCAAGGGUUCCUGUCCAACGUUAAUCGGGGCAGGGUGAGUCGACCCCUAAGGCGAGGCCGAAAGGCGUAGUCGAUGGGAAACAGGUUAAUAUUCCUGUACUUGGUGUUACUGCGAAGGGGGACGGAGAAGGCUAUGUUGGCCGGGCGACGGUUGUCCCGGUUUAAGCGUGUAGGCUGGUUUUCCAGGCAAAUCCGGAAAAUCAAGGCUGAGGCGUGAUGACGAGGCACUACGGUGCUGAAGCAACAAAUGCCCUGCUUCCAGGAAAAGCCUCUAAGCAUCAGGUAACAUCAAAUCGUACCCCAAACCGACACAGGUGGUCAGGUAGAGAAUACCAAGGCGCUUGAGAGAACUCGGGUGAAGGAACUAGGCAAAAUGGUGCCGUAACUUCGGGAGAAGGCACGCUGAUAUGUAGGUGAAGUCCCUCGCGGAUGGAGCUGAAAUCAGUCGAAGAUACCAGCUGGCUGCAACUGUUUAUUAAAAACACAGCACUGUGCAAACACGAAAGUGGACGUAUACGGUGUGACGCCUGCCCGGUGCCGGAAGGUUAAUUGAUGGGGUCAGCGCAAGCGAAGCUCUUGAUCGAAGCCCCGGUAAACGGCGGCCGUAACUAUAACGGUCCUAAGGUAGCGAAAUUCCUUGUCGGGUAAGUUCCGACCUGCACGAAUGGCGUAAUGAUGGCCAGGCUGUCUCCACCCGAGACUCAGUGAAAUUGAACUCGCUGUGAAGAUGCAGUGUACCCGCGGCAAGACGGAAAGACCCCGUGAACCUUUACUAUAGCUUGACACUGAACAUUGAGCCUUGAUGUGUAGGAUAGGUGGGAGGCUUUGAAGUGUGGACGCCAGUCUGCAUGGAGCCGACCUUGAAAUACCACCCUUUAAUGUUUGAUGUUCUAACGUGGACCCGUAAUCCGGGUUGCGGACAGUGUCUGGUGGGUAGUUUGACUGGGGCGGUCUCCUCCUAAAGAGUAACGGAGGAGCACGAAGGUUGGCUAAUCCUGGUCGGACAUCAGGAGGUUAGUGCAAUGGCAUAAGCCAGCUUGACUGCGAGCGUGACGGCGCGAGCAGGUGCGAAAGCAGGUCAUAGUGAUCCGGUGGUUCUGAAUGGAAGGGCCAUCGCUCAACGGAUAAAAGGUACUCCGGGGAUAACAGGCUGAUACCGCCCAAGAGUUCAUAUCGACGGCGGUGUUUGGCACCUCGAUGUCGGCUCAUCACAUCCUGGGGCUGAAGUAGGUCCCAAGGGUAUGGCUGUUCGCCAUUUAAAGUGGUACGCGAGCUGGGUUUAGAACGUCGUGAGACAGUUCGGUCCCUAUCUGCCGUGGGCGCUGGAGAACUGAGGGGGGCUGCUCCUAGUACGAGAGGACCGGAGUGGACGCAUCACUGGUGUUCGGGUUGUCAUGCCAAUGGCACUGCCCGGUAGCUAAAUGCGGAAGAGAUAAGUGCUGAAAGCAUCUAAGCACGAAACUUGCCCCGAGAUGAGUUCUCCCUGACUCCUUGAGAGUCCUGAAGGAACGUUGAAGACGACGACGUUGAUAGGCCGGGUGUGUAAGCGCAGCGAUGCGUUGAGCUAACCGGUACUAAUGAACCGUGAGGCUUAACCUU
rnacentral:rRNA from 1 species